rnacentral:rRNA from 1 species
UACGUAGGUGGCAAGCGUUGUCCGGAUUUAUUGGGUUUAAAGGGUGCGUAGGCGGCCCUGUAAGUCAGUGCUGAAAUAUCCCGGCUUAACCGGGAGGGUGGCAUUGAUACUGCGGGGCUAGAGUACAGAUGAGGUAGGCGGAAUUGACGGUGUAGCGGUGAAAUGCUUAGAUAUCGUCAAGAACACCUAUAGCGAAGGCAGCUUACUAGGCUGUAACUGACGCUGAGGAGCGAAGGCGUGGGGAGCAAACAGG